rnacentral:rRNA from 1 species
CGCGUAGGCGGUAAGAUGUGUGUGAUGUGAAAGCCCUGGGCUUAACCUAGGAAGAGCAUCGCAAACUAUCUAACUGGAGUAUAUGAGAGGGUGGCGGAAUUUCCGGUGUAGCGGUGAAAUGCGUAGAGAUCGGAAGGAACGUCAAUGGCGAAGGCAGCCACCUGGCAUAAUACUGACGCUGAGGCGCGAAAGCGUGGGAGCGAACA